rnacentral:rRNA from 1 species
UACAGAGGUCUCAAGCGUUGUUCGGACUCAUUGGGCGUAAAGGGUGCGUAGGCGGCGCGGUAAGUCGGGUGUGAAAUCUCGGGGCUUAACUCCGAAACUGCAUUCGAUACUGCCGUGCUUGAGGACUGGAGAGGAGACUGGAAUUUACGGUGUAGCGGUGAAAUGCGUAGAUAUCGUAAGGAAGACCAGUGGCGAAGGCGGGUCUCUGGACAGUUCCUGACGCUGAGGUGCGAAAGCGUGGGGAGCAAACAGG